GUACAGAAUUUACAAGUUUGGAUCUCUUUCGAUCUCCAAGGGGUGAUUCAACCUCAAGUGAAGCCCCUGCAGCAAACUGUCUCUGCAGUUGACAGAUGCCAAAACGUCCACACUGACACGUCGCCGAGCUGUCAGAGCAUAACGCAAUGUUUACAACUGAAAAAUCAGCUCGGUCAACGGAAUCAAGUGCGCGAUCGUUUUACGUCGUUUUCGGUGUGUUUUUGACGAUGUUUCGUCCGAUAUGUUCAGGUAAGUCGUUUAAGUUUUUGGACUAGUCCUACGAAGAGCUUCUUCGUUAAGUUUUUAUUUACUUUUCAGCUCACAGUGAGCCUGAAAAGUGGUGGUGUUUUGCUGCUAGGUUCUGAAUCUUCCCGAGGAAGAUCAGCCUGCACAAACCCACAAAUUAUCCCGGGAUGAACCAUGGUUGGCCAUCUUGACACAGCAAGAUGAGCACCAGGUAAGUGUACACAUUAAAAUUUGCAAAUUAAAAAUCAAUUAUUGAUUGACGAUCGUAAAAUUUUAGGCUUGCCACUUCUGGCCGGUAUUUUGGUUGGUAGCGUCCCCUCACUGCCGCUCCACAGUCGCCGCUCGGACGCAAGGGCACUACGGAUAACCCCUUGGUCGUCUCGUCGGACUGCCAGCGUAGCUAUGGACCUCCAACAUGAGCAUAAAGGUGUUUAGUAACGACUAACCUCCUCCGCAGAUGCUCAUCGGGUCUUCGGGUCGAACCGACAGCGAGUUCCGAGGGAAACCAAUGUUUAACCCCUCACCAACUGCUGCGGUUAACCGACCCUCGGUCGACUUACAUCGUUAGAGUUAGUCAGUGUUACUAAACUCUGUAUUGAUUAUGAAUAAAGAUUCAUUUUAUUAUCA